CACGUAGGAGGCGAGCGUUGUCCGGAAUCAUUGGGCGUAAAGAGCUCGUAGGCGGUGUGUCACGUCGGCCGUGAAAACCUGGGGCUUAACUCUGGGCGUGCGGUCGAUACGGGCAUCACUAGAGUUCGGCAGGGGAGACUGGAAUUCCUGGUGUAGCGGUGAAAUGCGCAGAUAUCAGGAGGAACACCGGUGGCGAAGGCGGUUCUCUGGGCAUGUCCUGACGCUGAGGAGCGAAAGCGUGGGGAGCGAACAGG
rnacentral:rRNA from 1 species